rnacentral:rRNA from 1 species
UACAGAGGGUGCGAGCGUUAAUCGGAAUUACUGGGCGUAAAGGGCUCGUAGGCGGCCAACUAAGUCGGACGUGAAAUCCCCAGGCUCAACCUGGGAACUGCGUCCGAUACUGGAUGGCUUGAAUUCGGGAGAGGGAUGCAGAAUUCCAGGUGUAGCGGUGAAAUGCGUAGAUAUCUGGAGGAAUACCGGUGGCGAAGGCGGCAUCCUGGACCGACAUUGACGCUGAGGAGCGAAAGCUAGGGGAGCAAACGGG